UGAUAAAUGCUGAAAACAACAUGGUGACAGCAAUGCAAUACCAGUGACUAUUUUUUCAAAUGGGCCAAGUUACAGAAUGAUGGCAGACAUUUCUAUUGCGAAUCGAGCUUGAGCACACAAACAGUUGUGAACUGACGCUGCACUCGCUGUAGAAGGAGGAUAAUGACAACGGAACAGAAGAAGAGCGAUAUGAUGAACGACAGUCCACUCUACCAAAAAAAGAAUUCAGAAGGCCACCGAUACCCAAAAGGAGGAAGAAUGCAGAUCACGAAGUUGAUAUUGCAAGGGAUACAAUAAGCUGCAUGAAAUCUUUAAUAGAGGCUGUUAGGAGCCGAGAUGAAUUUGCGGUUUACGGAGAGCAUGUUGCUAAUAAAUUAAGAAACUGCGGUAGAAGAUGCAUCGAAAUUUCCCUAGCCCAGCGUGAAAUUGAUGACAUAUUCUUAAAAUUGGAAAUGGGAAUGCACAGUACGAUAGGAUAUUCACCCCAGGUCAGCUCAAACCAGUUAAGCCCACUUCAAACAAUUCCACCUCCAUUCCAUUCUUCACCAUCAACAUUUCAUAGUACAGACGGCCAAAACACAUGCUCUUCAGACUGUUCCUUUACACCCUCAACAUCUUCGCAAGAUCUGGAACCCUCUUUUCAAAAUGAAGGGACCAGAGAAGACCAAACCA